AAGUAUCGCAGGUUGUCUGGUACGCCGAGUCUCUCUACGGGAGGGCGUGUGAGUGGCAUUUGGGAUGUUUGUGCUGUCUGGCUCCAUGGUCGUGGUCAUCGAACUUUCAGCACACAGCCCUUGUCAUGUUCGCCUUGUGUCAUUUUGGCCCGGCGUUCGAUUAUGGUUCUUGUGUUGCCUACCUGUUAAGUGGUAUUCACGUGCCUCUUAUGACCCGUUCCAUCCAGACCCCUCGAGAGGUUGUUGGAGGAUUCGGAAGUGAUGCGUGUGAUGUGUUAGCUGUGCAUAGUAAUGGCUUGCGUUCUCACACGUGUCUAGUGUUCCCUUGGAUGCGGUGCAUGCGGCGAACGUGGGCUGACCAGUUUGUCCCGUUGAGUCCCUUUGAUUUAUCGGUUCCCUUGAAUGACACUUUGCCGUGGUGUCGGUCUUGCUUAACCAUCCGUGGUGGCAACACUGGCACGUGGAACAAAGUCGUUGAUG
rnacentral:misc_RNA from 1 species